rnacentral:rRNA from 1 species
AGUGAACGCUGGCGGUAGGCCUAACACAUGCAAGUCGAACGGCAGCACAGUAAGAGCUUGCUCUUACGGGUGGCGAGUGGCGGACGGGUGAGGAAUACAGCGGAAUCUACUUUUUCGUGGGGGAUAACGUGGGGAAACUAACGCAAAUACCGCAUACGCCCUACGGGGGAAAGCGGGGGCCCUCGGGACCUGGGGGGUUGGAAUGAGCCGAUGUCGGUUUAGCUAGUGGGGGGGGUCAAGGCCCACCAAGUCGAGGAUCCGUAGCUGGUGUGAGAGGAUGGUCAGCCACACUGGAGCGGAGCCACGGUCAAGAGUCCUACGAGAGGGAGCAGUGGGGAAUAGUGGACAACGGGCGGAAGCCUGAUCCAGCCAUAGCGCGUGGGUGAAGAAGGCGUUCGGGUUGUAAAGCCCUUUUGUUGGGAAAGAAAAGCAGCAGGUUAAUACCCAGCUGUUCCGACGGUACCAAAAGAAGAAGCACCGGCUAACUUCGUG